GACGAACGCUGGCGGCGUGCUUAACACAUGCAAGUCGAACGGAAAGGCCCUGCUUUUGUGGGGUGCUCGAGUGGCGAACGGGUGAGUAACACGUGAGUAACCUGCCCUUGACUUUGGGAUAACUUCAGGAAACUGGGGCUAAUACCGGAUAGGAGCUCCUGCUGCAUGGGGGGGGGGGGAAAGGUGCGGCGGUGGGGGAGGGACGCGCGGCGUAUCAGCUUGGUGGUGGGGUAGUGGCUUACCAAGGCUGUGACGGGGAGACGGCCAGAGAGGGUGGCAGGCCCCAUUGGGGCUGCGCUGCGGCCCCGCCUCCUCCUUUUUCCCGCCGGUCUUCCUCUUCCCCCGUGUUCCGCCGCCUGCUGCCGCGCCGCCGCGUGCGGGAUGCCGGCCUUCGGGUUGUACCCCGCUUUCGCCUUUGGCGCCGCGUGUGUGGCUGUUGUCCCUCCCGCCGCUCCGGCUCCCUCCGUC
rnacentral:rRNA from 1 species